AUAACAUGCCUAUAACACACUGAUAACACGCUGAUAACAUGCUGAUAACACAUUAAUAGCAUGCUGAAAACACAUUGAUAAUGUGCUGAUAACGCAUUAAUAACAUGAUGAUAACACAUUAAUAGCAUGCUGAUAACACGCAGAUAACACCCUGAUAACACACUGAUAACACAUUGACAAAACAUUGAUAACACAUUGAUAACACAUUGAUAACACGCUGAUAGCACAUUGAUAACACGCUGAUAACACACUGAUAGCACACUGAUAACACAUUGAUAACACGCUGAUAACACACUGAUAACACACUGAUAACACACUGAUAACACGCUGAUAACACAUUAAUAACACUGAGCCGUGCCUGCACAGAGUCCCGGCUGGACUUGUGGGAUAAACUGGGAGAAAUGUUGGGCUAAACUGGGAUGAACUGGGGAGAAAAGCUUCUUCAGGUGCUGAGCUGGAGCCAGCUGGCCGUGCCAGGGUGAGGCCAUGGCAGUGUGCCUGCUGUGCCAGGUUUGGAGCAGGGUGGAUGUGAGGGUGAGGCCAUGGCAGUGUGCCUGCUGUGCCAGGUUUGGAGCAGGGUGGAUGUGAGGGUGAGGCCAUGGCAGUGUGCCUGCUGUGCCAGGUUUGGAGCAGGGUGGAGGUGAGGGUGAGGCCAUGGCAGUGUGCCUGCUGUGCCAGGUUUGGAGCAGGGUGGAGGUGAGGGUGAGGCCAUGGCAGUGUGCCUGCUGUGCCAGGUUUGGAGCAGGGUGGAUGUGAGGGUGAGGCCAUGGCAGUGUGCCUGCUGUGCCAGGUUUGGAGCAGGGUGGAUGUGAGGGUGAGGCCAUGGCAGUGUGCCUGCUGUGCCAGGUUUGGAGCAGGUUGGAGGUGAGGGUGAGGCCAUGGCAGUGUGCCUGCUGUGCCAGGUUUGGAGCAGGGGUGGGUGUGAGGGUGAGGCCAUGGCAGUGUGCCUGCUGUGCCAGGUUUGGAGCAGGGUGGAGGUGAGGCUGGCAGGGUUGGUGAUGUGUCCCUUGUCCCCU